rnacentral:ncRNA from 1 species
AGCAGAGUAGAAAUUUGUGCGUUAAGUGCUAUGUGAACGGGGAGUUGUCACGUGGACGAAGAGGAAACUUGCGGUACAGAUUUCGCAUCCCGCUGCU